AGAACGAACGCUGGCGGCGGGCCUCAUACAUGCAAGUCGAGCGCGAAAGUCCGCAAGGAUGAGUAAAGCGGCGCACGGGUGAGUAACACGUGGAUAAUCUACCCCUUGGAUUGGAAUAACCUGUCGAAAGACGGGCUAAUGCCGAGUGCGCUUAUGAGAUUGUGAUGAUCUUAUAAGGAAAGGUGGCGCAAGCUACCGCCGAGGGAUGAGUCUGCGCCCCAUUAGUUAGUUGGUGAGGUAAUGGCUUACCAAGACAAUGAUGGGUACCUGGUUUGAGAGAAUGACCAGGCACACUGGAACUGAAACACGGUCCAGACUCCUACGGGAGGCAGCAGUAGGGAAUAUUGCGCAA
rnacentral:rRNA from 1 species